rnacentral:lncRNA from 1 species
GCAGGUUCACCUUUCCUCCUCACCAUACCUAUUAUUUCCUUUUUUCUGCCUCUAGGCAAGUCCUUGUUUAGUGCACCAGAGGCGCAGAAGACAAGUCAGAAGGCAAGUCUCUGAGUGACCGAAAGAAAGAACCAUGCACUUCCCCAGGCACAACACGGUCUGGGCUAUACAACGUACAGUUCAACACAGUCAUAACUCUUUUCAGGAGUGGGACUUCCAUAAGUUCCAUUGUUAAAGGCUUUCCUCCUGCUUUAAAAAAUGUAUUUUAAAAAGCAGACUUGUGUUAUUCUGACAGUUUUUACUAAAAACAAAAAGGAUCAUCAAUGUAGACCAGUGGCCCUCAACGUUUACUGGCCCAUGGGCAACAAUACUGAACAAGUAGCACAUUGCAGGCUGUACUACAUGAAUGGAGUUGCCCCGAGACAAAGAAGUUUGAAGCAAUAACCUGGAGGUAUCUGCCUUGGGGAAAUGGUGUGCACACAAACAGCUAUUGCAGAAGAUGUUAUCUUUAUCCAGGAAGAAAAAUUACCCUGGCUGAAACCCAGGUAAAAUGUCCAUGUUGGGGCACUUUUAC